rnacentral:tRNA from 1 species
GGCUCCAUAGCUCAGGGAUUAGAGUACUGGUCUUAUAAACCAAUAGUCAUGAGUUCAAAUCAAACUGGGGCCU